AUACGGAAGGUGCGAGCGUUAUCCGGAAUCACUGGGUUUAAAGGGUGCGUAGGCGGCAUGAUAAGUCAGAGGUGAAAGCCCUCAGCUUAACUGAGGAAUUGCCUUUGAUACUGUUGUGCUUGAAAGGGGAUGAGGUGAGCGGAAUGUGGCAUGUAACGGUGAAAUGUGUAGAUAUGUCAUAGAACACCGAUUGCGAAGGCAGCUCACCGGGCCUACUUUGACGCUCAGGCACGAAAGCGUGGGGAGCGAACAGGAUUAGAUACCCUAGUAGUCC
rnacentral:rRNA from 1 species